rnacentral:rRNA from 1 species
GACGAACGCUGGCGGCGUGCUUAACACAUGCAAGUCGAACGGAAAGGCCCUGCUUUUGUGGGGUGCUCGAGUGGCGAACGGGUGAGUAACACGUGAGUAACCUGCCCUUGACUUUGGGAUAACUUCAGGAAACUGGGGCUAAUACCGGAUAGGAGCUCCUGCUGCAUGGUGGGGGUUGGAAAGUUUCGGCGGUUGGGGAUGGACUCGCGGCUUAUCAGCUUGUUGGUGGGGUAGUGGCUUACCAAGGCUUUGACGGGUAGCCGGCCUGAGAGGGUGACCGGCCACAUUGGGACUGAGAUACCGCCGCGACUCCUCCGGGAGGCAGCAGUGGGGAAUAUUGUACAAUGGGCGGAAGCCUGAUGCAGCAACGCCGCGUGCGGGAUGACGGCCUUCGGGUUGUAAACCGCUUUCGCCUGUGACGAAGCGUGAGUGACGGUAAUGGGUAAAGAAGCACCGGCUAACUACGUG